UGAGGUAGAGGUUGCGGUGUUUAUUAGUAUGUUAAAUGAGAGGCAGGGAACUCAGAGAUUUUAACAAAAAGGAAACAUUGCCGAAGCGCUAAAAAUUCUCUGGUUUUGGUAGCUGGGACUGUCUCCGAAUAGGAACAGGACUGUCAUAGCUAAUGCUAUGUUGAACUAUC
rnacentral:ncRNA from 1 species